rnacentral:rRNA from 1 species
AUACGUAGGGGGCGAGCGUUAUCCGGAUUUACUGUGUGUAAAGGGAGCGUAGGUGGCGAAGCAAGUCAGAUGUGAAAGCCCGGGGCUUAACUCCGGGACUGCAUUUGAAACUGUUUUGCUAGAGUGCAGGAGAGGUAAGUGGAAUUCCUAGUGUAGCGGUGAAAUGCGUAGAUAUUAGGAGGAACACCAGUGGCGAAGGCGGCUUACUGGACUGUAACUGACACUGAGGCUCGAAAGCGUGGGGAGCAAACAGGAUUAGAUACCCUGGUAGUCCACGCUGUAAACGAUGAAUACUAGGUGUUGGGGAGCGAAAGCUCUUCGGUGCCGUCGCAAACGCAUUAAGUAUUCCACCUGGGGAGUACGUUCGCAAGAAUGAA